rnacentral:rRNA from 1 species
UCAGACGAUGCGUCAUGCAUAUCAAUAAGCGGAGGAAAAGAAACUAACAAGGAUUCCCUUAGUAACGGCGAGUGAAGCGGGAAGAGCUCAAAUUUGAAAUCUUCAAGGUUUUACCUUGACGAAUUGUAGUUUAAAGAAGUGUUUUCUGCUGAAGUUUUGGUAAAAGUUCUUUGGAAUAGGACAUCAUAGAGGGUGAGAAUCCCGUAUUUGACCAUUAUUUUCAGCUUUGUGAUACACUUUCAAAGAGUCGGAUUGUUUGGGAAUGCAGUCCAAAAUGGGUGGUAAAUUUCAUCUAAAGCUAAAUAUUGGCGAGAGACCGAUAGCGAACAAGUACCGUGAGGGAAAGAUGAAAAUAGAACUUUGAAAAGAGAGUUAAACAGUACGUGAAAUUGUCAAAAGGGAAGCGUUUGACACCAGUGUUGUUUUCUCGAAAAUCAAUUAAAAAUGGCUCGAUUUUGUAUUGCUGAGACCUUAAAAGCUCACUGUACAUUUUUCGUGUCUUUUUUAAUGCACUUUUCGUUUAACAAGUCAACAUCAGUUUCUUUUGUUGUAAAAGGGUCAUUGGAAGGUGGCUUUCUUUUCGGAGAAAGUGUUUAUAGCCUUUGGCCUCUGCAAUCGGAGAGACUGAGGUCUGCAGCGUAGACUCUUCGGGGUUAGAUACAUUUGUGCUAAGUUAUAGCUUUUUAUAGACAACUUGUUGACUAUAAUUAGUCUUGUAGCUUACUCGCUUAUGCUAUUUUACCUACGCUUAGGAUGUUGAACUACUGAGACAUAGA